GAUCCACACAUAGACUUCACAAGUACUUAACUGUAUCCAAUAACCUUCUAUUACUACAUUAAAAAUCUAAGUAGUUCGACACCAAAGCACAGUGAGUUGCUUGCAAGUCACUAUGGUGAUCUCAGAUCUAAAGGAUAUUUAUACCUAUGUGUUUCGCGAGCAGCUCUUGACAACAGAAUGCUUAAUAGGUGAGUCACUUGUUCAGUGACGAUGUACCCUUACAUCUCACCUAUAUGCCAUACCAGUGUCACCACACUCCUUGGUUAAGAGGAUAACUAAUCUAUAUGGCACACAACGACCUUCACUCG
rnacentral:lncRNA from 1 species